AGUGCGUGUUAAAAAGACCGUUCGAUUAACAUUCGUCUCGUAUAAUUUAGUUGUAUUUAUGACAGUUGUAGGUAUUCGACUAUCGUCGACUAUAAUCUAAUAUUCAGACACCGUGAAAACGAUUUUGUCAAAUGUCAGUAAAAUUGUUAAAUUACCCAAUUACAAAGAAAAUGCUGUUUUGCAUGUUGACCAUUUUUAUUUUUAGUUAUGAUAUUACAUCGGGAAGCGACUCAUACGACGAUUACAAUGAAGUGUUUGAAGAUAACAUAGACAAUUUUUACGAUAUUGAUAUUUAUCACGAAAACUAUGCACAAUACCAAACAGCGAAUCAUGUAUUUUACUGGCUAUACACCAGAGAUGAUACCGAUGGUCAAAUGUUAAACAGAAGUGAGCCACACAUGAUCGAGUCGACGACGUACGAUCCAGAAAAUCCAAUUAAAGUAAUAGUGCACGGUUGGCUUGGAUCCACUCAAGAGAAAUCGGGCGUUUGUUCGUACAACGUAAAAUCGUAUUUUGAAGUGGGCAAUUACAAUGUGAUCUGCGUGGAUUGGAAACAAUAUUCGACCGAUUUAUCGUACGCGGUUGCGAAGAAGAGAUCCAAAUACAUUGCUCUGGAUAUUGUUAAGGUGUUGUUGAGGAUUACGAACAACAUGACGAUGGGCUGCUAUGAUACUAUGCAUGUAAUAGGACACAGUAUGGGAGCACACAUUGCCGGACAUGUUGGAAAAAAUUUGCCCGGCCUUGACCGGAUCACAGGGUUAGAUCCUGCAAAACCAAUGUACGAGAAAAGUGGACCAGAUGACAGACUAGAUAUGAAUGACGCGAAUUAUGUUGACGUAAUGCAUACUAACGCUGGUCAAAAUGGGCUUAACAAAUCUAUUGGUCACAUGGAUUACUAUCCAAAUGGAGGAUCAAAGCAACCCGGCUGCGUUGAACGUUCAGAUAAACGUGAUUACUGGUGCGUGCAGUCAUUGUAGAUCCUAUCAUUACUAUUCACACUCCAUAUGGUCCAGAGACGAUUAUGUCGCAUAUAGAUGUCCCAGUUGGGCUGACUUUCAAGCGGAUCGAUGUGUCAAUGCUUCCAAAAAUCUGAUGGGAGAAUUUGCAGACCGGACGAAGGAUGACGGCGUUUAUUUUUUAGAAGCAUGCGUCCAAGAUUAGUAGACACACAAGGCGGCGUACAACUCUGUUUCUGAUUUACUGGACAAUUUUUAAUAUAAUUAUUAGUUAUAAGUGUCUUUGUUAAACGUAUUUGAUAUGUAUAUUAACGCUCGUUGGAUGUAUGAUAUAUUGUAUGAUAUCUGUACUGUCCUUAUCGAUAAAUUUUAGUUUAUUUUACAACACAUAAAUUAGUUAUAACUUUUGAUCAACUCGGAUCAACAUUAUUCUGUAGUCUAUGCUACGCUUAUAUAAUAACCGUACAUCGGAAUCAAGUUAAAUAUAUUAAUAUAAUUAUAAUACCAUGAUUUAUACUGUUAAUAAAGUAUUUGCGAAUUGUAAUCGAAACUCAAAUUAUGUUUAUCGUUGACUCAAUAAUACAAGUCUAAAAUAUAAA
rnacentral:misc_RNA from 1 species